ACUGGUUCGUGGAGAGAGAAGGGAACCAUCGCUACGCUCCCCCUGUGCUAUCCUCGUCUUACAUUGGUUUGAAUGGACGGCCCACAUUAACCAGGGCACACGCCUGCCUAUUGCUUGCGUUUCCUCUCUCUCUCUCUCUCUCUCUCUCUCUCCUCACUCUCUUCUCCCUCUCCGCCCGCCUUGUUCUUCCAGACUGGAUCAUCGAUUCAUCAUCGGCGACUCCGACGCGCUGGAUUCGAUCGGCAACAGUUCUUUGGCGUCGCGCGGCGGGUUAGAAUCUCUCGUUUUUGCUCCCAGAUUUGUGGAUUUUGUCCAUCGAUUCUAGCCUAGGGGCUGAAUCCGCUGCGAGCUUGGUGAGAGAGCGUGUUCUUCUCGUUCUUUUUUCCUUUUUUUCUGUGAAUAUUUCCUCGCCGCGCCCGCUUUCUCGUGAUUUUAUUUCAUCAUCCAAGUCGCUUUUCAAUGCGGUGUCCGCCGUUGAGAGAGUAGGACUCGAUUCAUUCAUUCAGUCCGGGUGGCUGUGUGGUUUGAUCAAUAAUUUCCUUGUCCGGGCACGCAUUUGAUUUUAGAGUCGCAGUCAGCAGUUUUGUCUCGAGAAUCUGAUUGAAGCGCUCAUCGUUUAGAAAUAGAGUGAGAGUCUAUAGCGAAGUGAUGCGAGGGUCUAGAUAGAAAAGAGCGAAAGAAAAAAACUUCAACUACGAUGGCUCCAAGAGCCACUUCCAAGUCGAAGAAUCACAAAUCCAAGGGAGAGAAGAAGAAGAAAGAAGACAAGCUGCUUCCUACCGUUCUCGAUGUUCUGGUAAAUCUCCCAAGUGGCGACGAAAUAAUUCUCAAGGGGAUUUCUACUGAUCGUAUCCUGGAUGUGCGCAAGCUUUUGGCGGUCAAUGUUGAGACAUGCCACCUUACGAGAUUCUCGCUAUCCCACCAGGUUCGUGGAGAUCGACUGAAUGACUCUCAAGAGGUCAUGCACUUGAAGCCUUGUGUUCUCACUGUCGUCGAAGAAGCAUACACGGAGGAAUCAGCCAUGGAUCACGUCAGAAGGCUAUUGGACUUGGUUUCAAGCAUUACUUGUUUUGGUCCUUCCGGGAAGGCAUUAGUGCCAGACAAAGAAACAGAUGGUAAAACAGGCAGGACGGAGAGUGGAGAGAAUAGCAUCAAUCUCAAGGAUAUCAAGGACAUAACAAAACUCUGUCCUCCAUCCGAGCUGGGGAAGUUUUACGAGUUCUUUUCCUUCGCGCAUCUAAAGUCACCUGUCCAAGGCAUUAAAAUUUCUCGUCAGGCAGGCUCUAAAACAGAUUUUUUCUCGCUAGAGGUCAAGGUGACCAACGGGAAAAUUCUUUCCGUUACAGCUUGUAGCACCGGAUUUUAUCACACGGGGAAGCAGCAAGUGAAGUGCCACGCACUGGUCGAUUUGUUAAGGCAUCUUAGCAAGUCUUUUAACGACAACUACGAAGAACUGUUGAAAGCAUUUUGCGCGCGCAAUAAGUUUGCGAACAUUCCGUACGGUCUGCGAGCUAAUACGUGGGUGGUUCCACCCAUAGUAGCAGAAUCGCCGUCUACGUUUCCGGCUUUGCCUGCAGAAGACGAAACUUGUGGUGGCAAUGGAGGUGGUCGAGGUAGAAAUCCCGAAGGCCUCAACGUGCCGUGGUCACAGCACUUCUCUUUCAUAGCCAAAAUGGCUUGCGAGACGUCGGAGGAACGAGAGGUUCGGGAUCAUAAAGCUUUUGUUCUCCAUAACUACUUCGUCGAUGUGGCUACUACGCAUGCUGUAGCAGUCAUAAGGGAAUUGGAUUCUUCAAGCUCAUUCCAGACAGAACAUGUAGAGACCAGGGGUACUCUCAAGUUCUUCGUCACUCGAGAUGGCACAGAUCCCGGCAGAAAAGUUGUAUGGAAAAUAGAGUCGAGCUCAACAACGGAGUUUCAAAGGGAAAUAUCGGAACGGAAUGUUUUGAAAGGAAUUACGGCUGACGAAAGCACCGUUGUCCAUGACACUUGUACAUUAGGUAUUGUUUUAGUUCGACAUCAAGGAUACAAGGUAGUUGUAGAGGCAGUCCCGACGGAGCGCACUCAGGAUAUUCUCGAGAUCUUGGAUCCACCUGAAGGCGGUGCAAACGCACUUAACGCAAACAGCCUCCGCAUUCUUCUGCAUAAGAAGUCUCACAGACUGGAUAGUAGUGGCGAGGAAGAGAAGCGCGCCAAAGAUCUUCUUUCUGAAACAAUAGACAAGGCAAUUUCCAGCGUAAGCACGCAGGGACCCGUUAAUCCGAGCCAGUAUUUCAGGUGGGAACUCGGCGCAUGCUGGGUCCAACAUUUAGGAGAAAUGACAAAAGCAAACAGCAGUGAGAAAAGUGAUAAAAGUGGCCAGAAACCGAGCAAGGACGAGGAACCUGUGUCUGAAGAUGUCUCCCCUCUGAAAGGACUCCUUCCCGAGUCUUCUUUGGAGCGACUUAAAGGAACAAAAUCAGGCCUUCACCUAAAGUCUGUUGCGGAGCUUAUGAACGCAGCGGAACAAUAUUAUAAUAAUGUGGCGCUUCCUAAGCUUGUGUCAGAUUUUUCGGCUCUUGAGCUCUCUCCGGUUGAAGGGCGAACUUUGACAGAUUUUAUGCAUAUACGUGGGUUGAGGAUUUCCUCACUGGGACAACUGGCUGAUCUGUGCUCAAAACUUCCGCACAUCAGGUCGCUGUGCAUCCACGAAAUGAUUAUCCGCGCUUUUAAACAGUUGCUUCGAGCUGUAGUUGCCUCCGUGAAAGAAACUUCCGAGCUAGCUUCUACAAUCGCGACUGCUUUGAACGCCAUCUUUGCUAGCCUGCCAGCUGAAGGCAAAGAGGAGCCUGUUGAGAAGCAUGUCUGGAAAUGGCUGGAGUCGUUUGUCGCCGCGAGAUUUAGAUGGAAACUCGCUUAUGAUUCGCGGCUAAACCUGCGUAAGUACGCACUUCUUCGAGGGAUUUGCUAUAAGGUUGGCAUUGAAAUGGCUCCUCGAAGCUACAACUUUAACAGUACCACAAUUUUCUCGAAGGCAGAUGUAAUAAGCUUGGUUCCCGUGUACAAGGUUUGUUCUUAAAACCUGUUUCAUUCUUCCGUCAUUUUGACAGAAUUUUCAUUUGUGCUUCCAAAGCAUGCAAUUUGCUCGUCGGCUGAUGGACGCACGCUCUUGGAGUCGUCAAAAGCGGCAUUAGAUAAAGGAAAGCUAGAGGAGGCCGUGUCUUUUGGAAGCAAGGCUCUGACAAAAUUGAUAGCUGUUUGCGGGCCUUACCAUCGAAUGACUGCUGGAGCAUAUAGUUUGCUUGCAGUGGUUCUUUACCACACAGGAGACUUCAAUCAGGCCAUGAUAUACCAGCAAAAAGCUUUGGACAUAAAUGAGAGGGAGCUUGGACUUGACCAUCCGGAUACAAUGAAAAGCUAUGGUGACUUGGCUGUCUUUUACUACAGGCUUCAACAUACAGAGUUGGCAUUAAGAUACGUUAAUCGGGCACUUUACUUGCUGCACUUGAUCUGUGGACCCUCACAUCCGAAUACAGCUGCUACUUAUAUAAAUGUAGCUAUGAUGGAGGAGGCUCUUGGAAAUGCUCACGUAGCUUUGCGAUAUCUACAUGAAGCACUUAAAUGCAACGAGAGGCUUCUCGGCAAAGAUCAUAUUCAGACUGCAGCAAGCUACCAUGCAAUUGCUAUAGCACUCUCACUGAUGGAAGCAUAUACACUCAGUGUCCAUCACGAACAAACUACGUAUCAAAUUUUGCAAGCAAAGCUUGGUCCAGAUGACAUCCGCACACAGGAUGCUGCUGCCUGGCUUGAUUAUUUUGAUUCUAAAGCAGUUGAGCAGCAAGAAGCCACAAGGACAGGGGCACCUAAGCCUGAUCCUUCUGUUGCAAGCAAAGGCCAUCUUAGUGUCUCUGAUCUUCUAGACUACAUUAACAAAGAAGUAUCAACAUCAAGUGAGAAGGAUAAAAAGCCUAAGCGUUUGAAGAUUCUAACUGUAGAAGAUAAUGCGGAUUCUCCAAAACAACAAGCAGGGAAUUCAAGCAGUAUUCAGAGCCAAGAGGAGAGUCCUAUCAUUAAAGAAGAAGUUUCGGGACAGGUUAGAGAACCUCCUUCCAACGCAGAAGAUCGCAUUGCCAAGAUUUCCAGCUCAACGGAAGUUUCCAACGCAGCAGUGAUAUCUUCGGAAGAGGUUAAUGAAGAUGAAGGAUGGUUCGAAGCUACAUCAAGAAGGAAAACGGUACAAAGAAAGAAGUUCAGCAGUUCGGACGUAUCUGGCACUAGCAGGAUGGGAUUUAAAGGCACACGCCCUGAUACUCCUUCCGAGAGUGGUAGUGGUACGCAAGAGAAGCUGGACGUUCCUUCCGAUAGUGGUACACAGGAAAAGCUGGAAGUUUCUUCUGGGGUGGCUGAACAAGGUCAGGUUCCUAGCGUCACAACACAGGGUAACAGAUCCUACAAAGACGUGGCACUGAUGAUGAUACGGCCGUUACAACAAUUGCAGCAAGCAGCAGUGAAAGUGGCAGGGACCAAAACAGAAACGAAAACAACAGGGCAAGCUGAAGAGGAGGAUUUGAUGUCUUGCGAAGGAUCUUCGAGCUGUUCUUCAUCAGCAGCAGCCACAACUCCUGCGAAGAGUAGUAUUCCCAAACCAGCUCCUCGUCCCGACUCACAACAAACUACCAUUGAAGUGGCCAUGACUCCCAUUCGAAAGCAGGUACACCUUCCUUCAAAAACUCAGGACUGCCAACCUUCUGUUGUCACACCGCCACCUCUUGCAACUCCAGCCUCCCUUUUCAAUGCCCCUGGAUCUCCUUCUCACCAUCCUCCUCCCACCACACCUGGUGCCAAGAAGCUUAUGAAUCCUUUUGCAAUCGAGUUUGUCCCGGGCAGAAAGUGGCAUCCGUUUCUUCCAUCCGAGACUAACUCUUUACAAACAGGAGGAUCAGGCUCUAAAGAUCAAGACGAGAAGAGGGAAAGCCAAGGUGGUGUGAGUGAUGGUGAUGGCGAUACAACAGAAAGUCUAGAGCAAGGCAGUCCCGCAAAACCACAGGCGGAGGAGACAGUAAAAAAUAGUGAGUUAGAAAUGGCAAAGACAGAAAGGCUCCAGGAAGAAAAUUUAUUACAGGAAGAAGUGGCAGCAGCAGCACAAGGCUCAGUCACACAGGAGGAGCAAGACGAAAGUUUUGAAGGGGAAGUAGCAAUAACAACACCAAGCAUAAGUUUGGAACAAGAGGACACUGGUAGCAACAAGGAGGGGAUUCACAGUGACAGUGACGAGAGAUUGCUAGUUGCUGCGGGGGACAGGGAUCAAUCUGGCUUUGCAGCAGCAAUGGCAAGCAAGAGGUGGUGUAGCAGUAGCAACUUUACGAGAUCGCGGAGUCGCGGGGCUCGCUGGCAGCGGCGCUCGGACGGAGCGAUCACCAGAGUGUACAGGCUGCAAGAAGGGAGCUCCAGUGCCAACCCGCAGCUGAAAACCACCUCCACUUUCACAAACGUCCCGGAGCCGCACACAUUGCAAUCGCCAGCGUCGUCCACUCUCAUGAGGAGCGUUCGAGUAAGCUAGAGAAGGGCGAGAGUUCUAACGAAAGAAAAAUCCAUCUAGCACGCUUGGAAAGGACGAAGAAAUAAGAACGCUAGUGCAAAGAAAUCCAUGUCAUGGAAUGCUCGAAAAAAAGUCUCUUCUCUGGCCCAAAGGUUUAAA